GGCCGUAUGGUCUAGUGGUAUGAUGCUUGCUUUGGGUGCAAGAGGUCUCGAGUUCGAUUCUCGAUUCGGCCC